GGAAGGAUCAUUAUUGAAAAACUGCUUUCAGUUUUUUACAUCCCAUUGUUUACCUACCCUGUUGCUUCCACUGGACAGGUUUCACCUUAUGUGAGCCCUGUAGCAUGUGUGUGAAUAACACCUGCUGCAGAGUUGCUAGUGGUAAGCCCAUUAUCAAAACUUGACAUGAAAAUAAGUCUGAUUCUUCCUUGAAAAUAAAAUAAAACUUUCAACAACGGAUCUCUAGGCUCUUGCAUCGAUGAAGAACGCAGUGAAAUGCGAUAAGUAAUGUGAAUUGCAGAAUCUCGUGAAUCAUCGAAUCUUUGAACGCACAUUGCGCCCUAUGGUAUUCCGUAGGGCAUGCCUGUCUGAGCGUUAGCUCCCCCCCACCUCAAGCAUCUGUAGAGAAGCUUGGAUUACUUUGGAGAAGUGGUUUUUGUAGGCGCUGAAAGUUGCCCAAAAUUUCCACCCCCCAGAAAUACAUUGGCAGUAUGGCUUUCCAAACUGGACGUAAUAAGCAUAUAAAAGCGUCUCUGUUUAGUCAGUGUUGUGCUUGCCUUAACCCACCCAAUAUUUUUUUCUGGGUAACCUCAGAUCAGGUAGGGAUACCCGCUGAACUUAAGCAUAUCAAUAAGCGGAGGAAAAGAAACCAACAGGGAUUGCCCUAGUAACGGCGAGUGAAGCGGCAAAAGCUCAGAUUUUAAAUCUGGCGUCAUUUUGGCGUCCGAGUUGUAGUCUGUAGAGGAGUAUUCGAGUGUGGCUUUGGCUUAAGUUCCUUGGAACAGGGCGUCAUAGAGGGUGAGAACCCCGUUAACGGCCUUUGUCUUAUGCUCAUGUGAAUCUCCUUCAACGAGUCGAGUUGUUUGGGAAUGCAGCUCUAAAUGGGUGGUAAAUUCCAUCUAAAGCUAAAUACUGGCAAGAGACCGAUAGCGCACAAGUAGAGUGAUCGAAAGAUGAAAAGAACUCUGAACAGAGAGUUAAAUAGUACGUGAAAUUGUUGAAAGGGAAGCACUUGCGACCAGACGCACUUGCAGCUGAUCAACCUCCAUUCUUGGGGGUGCACUCCGCUGUCUGUGGGUCAGCAUCAGUUAUAGUGGUGGGAAAAAGACUAGGGGAAUGUAGCUCCUUUCGGGGAGUGUUAUAGCCCUUGGUGUAAUGCUGCCUGCUGUGACUGAGGACCGCGCUUCGGCGAGGAUG
rnacentral:rRNA from 1 species